rnacentral:rRNA from 1 species
AACGUAGGACACGAGCGUUAUCCGGAGUUACUGGGCGUAAAGGGCGGGUAGGUGGUGCGAUAAGACUGGUGUGAAAGCCUUCGGCUUAACCGAGGGAGGACACUGGUGACUGUCGGACUUGAGGCAGAUAGAGGGGUGUAGAAUUCCGGGUGUAGUGGUGAAAUGCGUAGAGAUUUGGAGGAACACCAGUGGCGAAGGCGACUUUCUGGUCUGUAACUGACACUGAGGCGCGAAAGCGUGGGGAGCGAACAGG